AUGAGUGAGCCGGGCAACGAGUUGGAGGAGCUGCUCUGGGAUAACGGACCGGCGCUCCGGCGGACGGCAUCGCCCUUCCCGCCCUUCUCCUGCAGCGCCGCCGGCACUAUGAAGGCGCAGGAGCUCGCCAAGCACCCCGCGUCGGCGACGGCGAUGGCGCACGGACACGACGACGACGCCGUGCCGUGGUUGCAACAUUACCCCAUCAUCGGCGUGGACGACGACGGCAGCGGCGGCGACACGGCCCCGCUGCCCCAGGAGUACUUCUCCACCUUGUUUCCCGGGUUCUCCGACCUCCCCGCUGCGGUGGCGAGCAGAGAUGCCGGAGCGCCAUCAACGUCUCACGCAGCGGUCGUCGUGCCGCCGCUGCCGGAGCCACCUGCGCCCCCCAAGCAGCAGCAGCCGCCGCCUCGGACCACCGGCGAGGGCGUCAUGAACUUCUCCUUCUUCUCGAGGCCCCUGCAGCGCUCGCUGCCGCAGGCCAGCGUGAGACCGUCUGCCGCGGGGAACAAGUCCGUCGAGUCGAUGCUGCUGCAGACCAACAGGCUAAGAAGCACCCCUCUGUUCUCGGAGCAGAGGACGGCGUGGCUGCAUCCGCCCAAGGAGUCACCCGCCACGGCGUCCGCAUCCCGUCCUCCGGCACCGCCGGUGCCUGUCCGGCAUGCUGCAGAACCGGCUGCGGCGUUACCCCAGAGACUGCAACCGGAAGCCAGGGCUGCGGCGUUACCACCGAGAUUGCAACCGGAAGUGAGGGCUGUGGCGUUACCCCAGAGAUUGCAAUCGGAAGCGAGGGCUUCCGAGAUGCCACCGCCGCCCGCAACAGCGACGACCUCGUCUGUCUGCUCCGACAACGGUGAGCGGAGCCAGCUGAAGAGGAGCAGCCACCAGACUCUGGAGUGGUCGGUCAGUCAGGACGACGAGGAUCUCGACGACGAGGCCGGCGGGCUGAGAAGGUCGGCGGCGAGGAGCACCAAGCGCGGCCGCACCGCCGAAGUGCACAACAUGUCGGAGAGGAGGAGAAGGGACCGAAUCAACGAGAAGAUGCGCGCCCUGCAAGAACUCAUCCCCAACUGCAACAAGAUCGACAAGGCGUCGAUGCUGGAGGAGGCCAUCGAGUACCUCAAGACCCUGCAGCUCCAGGUCCAGAUGAUGUCGACGAUGGGGACGGCCGGGCUGUGCAUGCCGCCGAUGAUGGCAAUGCAGCACAUGCAGAUGCCGCCCAUGGCGCACUUCCACCACCACCACCUCGGCGCCAUGGGGUUCGGCAUGGGCGCCUUCGACCCGCGCCUCGUCGCCGCCGCCGGCGCCGCGCAGUUCCCUUACCCGAUGAUGCCCGGCGCGCCCAUGUUCGGCGCCCACGCGAUGCCUCCCCCGCCACCGUUCCACCAGGCGGCGGUGGCGGGCGCUCACAUGGCUGCCGGCCCGGUCACCAACGACGCCGCCACCGCAGCGCAGGCCGAGCACGAGCAGACACCGGGCGACCAUCCGCAGGUCCCACGAGCAAUGUAG
rnacentral:rRNA from 1 species